rnacentral:rRNA from 1 species
AUUGAACGCUGGCGGCAGGCCUAACACAUGCAAGUCGAGCGAGCGGCGGACGGGUGAGUAAUGUAUGGGGACUGCCCGAUAGAGGGGGAUAACUACUGGAAACGGUAGCUAAUACCGCAUACUAUCGGAUAACCCAUAUGGGAUUAGCUAGUGGGUGGGGUAAUGGCUCACCUAGGCGACGAUCCCUAGCUGGUCUGAGAGGAUGAUCCGCCACACUGGAACUAAGACAGGGCCCAGACUCCUACGGGGGCAGCGGGGGGAAAUAUUGCACAAUGGGCGCAAGCCUGAGGCAGCCAUGCCGCGUGUAUGAAGAAGGCCCUAGGGUUGUAAAGUACUUUCAGGGGGGGGGCGUUACCGACAGAAGAAGCACCGGCUAACUCCGUGCCAGCAGCCGCGGUAAUA